CAGGGCAGAAUGCUGUGGGAGUGACAAGUAAGCCACAAACACUUUUCUGUCAUGUAUGCUAUUCAAAAGAAACCGAGGCAAAAAAGAAGAAAAAUGGUUCAAAACACCCAGCAGCAAGAAAGAAGACCUCUGGCCUUCCAGGGAUUGCGAAAAUCUUUUCUUAGGAUGGAAUUCCACUUCCAUUCCAUAUAAGUAUAAGUAGUCCUUAUGCCAAGAAACUAGAUUUUUAAGGCAAAAAAAAAAAGAAAUCGAAGGAAGCUUCAGCAUCCCUUUGACUUUCUUUUCGUUCUAUUCGGAACUGGAAAUCCUUUUUUUCAUUUCUUUCUUUUGUGAGAGUCAAGAAAAGCGGUCUUAAGUUUGGGCUGA
rnacentral:lncRNA from 1 species